UGAAAUGCGAUAACUAGUGUGAAUUGCAUUAUCUCGUGAAUCAUCGAGUCUUUGAACGCAUCUUGCACCUCCCAGGUCUCCUGGAAGGUAUACUUGUUUGAGUAUCAUAAACACUGCUCCUCGCCCUACCAAGGGAGGGGGAAUUGAGAUGCCAAGUGUGCGCAAGCAACACCUGUGUCUUUUAAUUGACAUGCUGCGUGAGUCGGCACUGCCCUUGCUGGUGGUGCCGGGACCUACACACUAAAUGUGAGAUAGAGACAUCACAUCGCACAGAGUCGUCUGUAGGGCUAUUGCGCGGCUACACCCAGCUAGUCUGUCUGUCUUGCAGACCGACCAGCCCUAUGAUACUGUGAUCUCAAAUCAAGUAAGACUACCCGCUGAACUUAA
rnacentral:misc_RNA from 1 species